UGUCUGGAUUAAGUUUCAACUUGUUUCCCCUCAUCCAGUCUAUAACAAAAAACACCAUCAGCUACUUUGAGGAAGUACCUGGUGUCUGAGAAUACAUCCAAAAGGAAAACAAUUCAGUUCCUGAACUUGCUGUCUGGGGCAUCGAUGACAUGCCAGAGCCGAGGAGAGCAGCGUGGUUGGCGUUGUUCUGGAAGAGGUGUGUAUUUUAUUUUGCUGGUGGCCUUUGAAGGAUCAUACUGGUGAGUUGACAAUGUUUUAUUCAUGCAAAUAACUACUUGGCUGGAUGGUCUUAUACAGGAGAUGGCAAAGGCAGACCAGACACUGCAUGUAUGGGUUGCACACUUUGUCAAAAUGCUUCCUAGUUUCUCUCCUUUUGGGGGGGGGGGUAACCAUAUCUAGAGCAACAAUAACAUUUUAAAGCCAAGGUGGUCAAAAUGCAGGCUGUGGUAACAUGCGGCCCUCGGGGGUCAACAUUUCCCCCCCAAAUCUUGUUUUCCCUUAAAUGUCAUCUAGGAGCAUGUGGGACAUUUUUAUACUUUUAAAACUAACUUGAUCUCCCCUCUGAACAGAUAUGAUGUAAAGAGGAAGAGUUUUGUUAACUAAGCUUUAUUAAGGGAAGUAUACCUGUGCUAUAUAAUGACAAAGGAGAGGUUUUUGCCUUGUCAUAAUGAAUGAAAGCAAGCUACCCCCCCCCCCCACACACACACAGAGAUGCACACAGACAACCCACCCAGCAUCACAAUGUGAUAUGUCACGUGAGGUCACAAUACAGCCACUCACUUAAAAGCCCCCAGGUUCUGAGCCCACAUUAAUUCCCUGCUGGGAUAGCAGAUAGACAAGAAAUGAGGCUCAGUACAGUCUCAAUCAGGGUUUCAUCUGGAGGAAAAAAGAGGCUUAGAAAUGUAUCCAUCUCCAUUUUGAGAUGAAGGAGAAUCUGGCUUCUAUUGGCUUUUAAACAAAAUCUGACCAAUCUUGUGAAUAGCCAGAUAUGGAAGAAACCAAGAGACUUGCUCACUCUUCUAUUGCCUUCAAACAUUCCUUGUUUGAUGCAAACACUGUUGGGCUUGUCUAGACCCAGGCUCCCAGGUAAGUACUCCUGGUGCCUUGCCUUCAGAGAGCAGACUCCUAGGUAAGUGGGUCCCUGCUUGGUUAAGUACCUUUUUGGACUACAUCGCCCAGGAUCCUCCAUGCUGAUGGGCUGGGUGAUUCCGGCAGUUGUAGUCCAAAAUGAUGUACUUCCAGCCUUUAGUUGGAUCCCAUGCAUGUUUUUAGGUGAGCCCCAUUGGGCUGAACUCAGCUAGGAGGGACGUUGCUUCGAGGUGAGUACGCUCCUGGAUGGCUGGCAUUGCAUGGGAUCACUCCCUUUUCUGUCUGUGCUGCUCUGAAAGGCUAAGGCACCUCUCUACCUACUGAAGAGGGGCCUGGAGUGGCUUGGAAGACAGGAAGGAAGGAAGGAAGGAAGGAAGGACUCAGUGAGCUCUUUUUCUACUGGACUCUUCUCUGCAUUGUCUGAAGAACCAGCCUGCCCAUCCUUUAACCUGGCAGUGCAGGCUUUAUGAGCUGGUUGCCUGAAUUGGAGCCGAGAAGGAAUUUUCCCCUGUUGAGCCCAAAUUGGCACUGGGUCAAGACAGGUUUUUUGCCUUCUCUGCACUGCCUUCCUCCUGGGCUGCAUCCCUUUGGCUUAUGGCUCAGGAGGAGUUAAAAGAUGGGACUUCUCAGGCAGAAGGAUGGACCUCAUCAUCCCAGAUCAAUAAAGUUGAAGGAAAUGAAUUAUA